GAUGAAGAACGUAGUGAAAUGCGAUAAGUAAUGUGAAUUGCAGAAUUCAGUGAAUCAUCGAAUCUUUGAACGCACAUUGCGCCCGCCAGUAUUCUGGCGGGCAUGCCUGUUCGAGCGUCAUUUCAACCAUCAAGCCCUGCUUGCGUUGGGGUCCUGCGGCUGCCCGCAGGCCCUGAAAACCAGUGGCGGGCUCGCUAGUCACACCGAGCGCAGUAAUACAUCUCGCUUUGGGCGUGCGGCGGGUUCUUGCCGUUAAACACCCCCUUUUUACCAAGGUUGACCUCGGAUCAGGUAGGAAUACCCGCUGAACUUAAGCAUAUCAAUAAGGGAGGA
rnacentral:misc_RNA from 1 species